rnacentral:rRNA from 1 species
GACGAACGCUGGCGGCGUGCCUAAUACAUGCAUGUCGAGCGCAGGAAAUCGAGGGAACCCUUCGGGGGGAAGUCGACGGAAUGAGCGGCGGACGGGUGAGUAACACGUAAAGAACCUGCCCUCAGGUCUGGGAUAACCACGAGAAAUCGGGGCUAAUACCGGAUGGGUCAUCGGACCGCAUGGUACGAGGAUGAAAGGCGCUUCGGCGUCGCCUGGGGAUGGCUUUGCGGUGCAUUAGCUAGUUGGUGGGGUAAUGGCCCACCAAGGCGACGAUGCAUAACCGACCGGGGAGGGUGAUCGGCCACACUGGGACUGAGACACGGCCCAGACUCCUACGGGAGGAAGCAGUAGGGAAGCUUCCACAAUGGACGAAAGUCUGAUGGAGCAACGCCGCGUGAACGAUGAAGGCCUUCGGGUCGUAAAGUUCUGUUGUAAGGGAAGAACAAGUGCCGCAGGCAAUGGCGGCACCUUGACGGUACCUUGCGAGAAAGCCACGGCUAACUACGUGCCAGCCGCCGCGGUAA